rnacentral:rRNA from 1 species
GUGGGGAAUAUUGGACAAUGGGGGGAACCCUGAUCCAGCCAUGCCGCGUGUGUGAAGAAGGCCUUUUGGUUGUAAAGCACUUUAAGCGAGGAGGAGGCUACCGAGAUUAAUACUCUUGGAUAGUGGACGUUACUCGCAGAAUAAGCACCGGCUAACUCUGUGCCAGCAGCCGCGGUAAUACAGAGGGUGCAAGCGUUAAUCGGAUUUACUGGGCGUAAAGCGUACGUAGGCGGCUUUUUAAGUCGGAUGUGAAAUCCCUGAGCUUAACUUAGGAAUUGCAUUCGAUACUGGGAAGCUAGAGUAUGGGAGAGGAUGGUAGAAUUCCAGGUGUAGCGGUGAAAUGCGUAGAGAUCUGGAGGAAUACCGAUGGCGAAGGCAGCCAUCUGGCCUAAUACUGACGCUGAGGUACGAAAGCAUGGGGAGCAAACAGGAUUAGAAACCCUAGUAGUCC